rnacentral:rRNA from 1 species
AUUGAACGCUGGCGGCAUGCCUUACACAUGCAAGUCGAACGGCAGCACGGGAGCAAUCCUGGUGGCGAGUGGCGAACGGGUGAGUAAUAUAUCGGAACGUGCCCGGUCGUGGGGGAUAACGUAGCGAAAGCUACGCUAAUAUCGCAUACGAUCUACGGAUGAAAGCGGGGGAUCGCAAGACCUCGCGCGAUUGGAGCGGCCGAUAUCAGAUUAGGUAGUUGGUGAGGUAAAGGCUCACCAAGCCGACGAUCUGUAGCUGGUCUGAGAGGACGACCAGCCACACUGGGACUGAGACACGGCCCAGACUCCUACGGGAGGCAGCAGUGGGGAAUUUUGGACAAUGGGCGCAAGCCUGAUCCAGCAAUGCCGCGUGCAGGAUGAAGGCCUCGGUU